UAGUGUGAGCGGUAGAGGAGCGUCGUAAUCGGGCUGAAGUCGUACCGUAAGGAGCGGUGGACUGAUUACGAGUGAGAAUGUUGGCAUUAGUAGCGAGAUGUGGGUGAGAAUCCCACAGGCCGAAUACCUAAGGUUUCCUCAGGAAGGUUCGUCCGCUGAGGGUUAGUCGGGACCUAAGCUGAGGCCGAAAGGCGUAAGCGAUGGACAAUCGGUUGAUAUUCCGAUACCACUAUUAUCGUUAUUAUCGAUGGUGUGACGGAGAAGGAUAGGAUGUGCUAGCUAUUGGAUGCUAGUCUAAGCGUUUAGGGAGUUAGGAUAGGCAAAUCCGUUCUAACAAUUCUGAGGCGUGAUGGGGAAGGUUCUAAGGAACCGAAGUAUCUGAUUCCAUGCUUCCAAGAAAAGCAUCUAGAAAGAGAAAUAGUGCCCGUACCGCAAACCGACACAGGUAGGUGAGGAGAGAAUCCUAAGGCCGGCGGAAGAAUUGCAGUUAAGGAACUAGGCAAAUUGACCCCGUAACUUCGGGAGAAGGGGUGCCUGCGAGAGCAGGCCGCAGAGAAUAGGCACAAGCAACUGUUUAACAAAAACACAGGUCUCUGCUAAAGCGAAAGCUGAUGUAUAGGGGCUGACGCCUGCCCGGUGCUGGAAGGUUAAGGGGAACACUUAGCGUAAGCGAAGGUGUGAACUUAAGCCCCAGUAAACGGCGGCCGUAACUAUAACGGUCCUAAGGUAGCGAAAUUCCUUGUCAGGUAAGUUCUGACCCGCACGAAUGGCGUAAUGACUUGUGCACUGUCUCAACUGCAAAUCCGGCGAAGUUGUAGUGCGAGUGAAGAUGCUCGCUACCCGCGAUUGGACGGAAAGACCCCGUAGAGCUUUACUGUAGCUUAGCAUUGAAUUUCGGUAUUGUCUGUACAGGAUAGGUGGGAGACUGGGAAAUCAGAGCGUCAGCUUUGAUGGAGUCAUCCUUGGGAUACCACCCUGAUAGUACUGGAAUUCUAACUGGAUGCCAUGAAUCUGGUGACAGGACAUUGUUAGGUGGGCAGUUUGACUGGGGCGGUCGCCUCCUAAAAAGUAACGGAGGCGCCCAAAGGUUCCCUCAGAACGGUCGGAAAUCGUUCGUAGAGUGCAAAGGCAUAAGGGAGCCUGACUGCGAGACCUACAAGUCGAGCAGGGACGAAAGUCGGGCUUAGUGAUCCGGUGGUACCUCGUGGGAGGGCCAUCGCUCAACGGAUAAAAGCUACCUCGGGGAUAACAGGCUGAUCUCCCCCAAGAGUUCACAUCGACGGGGAGGUUUGGCACCUCGAUGUCGGCUCGUCGCAUCCUGGGGCUGAAGUAGGUCCCAAGGGUUGGGCUGUUCGCCCAUUAAAGCGGCACGCGAGCUGGGUUCAGAACGUCGUGAGACAGUUCGGUCCCUAUCCGUCGCGGGCGCAGGAAAUUUGAGAAGAGCUGUCCUUAGUACGAGAGGACCGGGAUGGACCGACCUAUGGUGUACCAGUUGUUUCGCCAGAAGCAUAGCUGGGUAGCUAAGUCGGGACGGGAUAAACGCUGAAAGCAUCUAAGCGUGAAGCCUCCUUCAAGAUGAGAUUUCCCAUAGCGUAAGCUAGUAAGACCCCUUGAAGACUACAAGGUUGAUAGGUCAGAGGUGUAAGUGUGGCAACAUAUUUAGCUGACUGAUACUAAUAGGUCGAGGGCUUGACCAAU
rnacentral:rRNA from 1 species